GACGGACGCUGGCGGCGUGCUUAACACAUGCAAGUCGAACGGUGAAGCGCCUUCCUUUUUGGUGGGUGUGGAUGAGUGGCGAACGGGUGAGUAACACGUGAGUAACCUGCCCCCUUCUUCUGGAUAACCGCAUGAAAGUGUGGCUAAUACGGGAUAUUCUGGGUCUGUCGCAUGAUGGGUCUGGGAAAGAUAUUGUUUCGGUGGGGGAUGGGCUCGCGGCCUAUCAGCUUGUUGGUGGGGUGAUGGCCUACCAAGGCGGUGACGGGUAGCCGGCCUGAGAGGGUGGACGGUCACACUGGGACUGAGACACGGCCCAGACUCAUACGGGAGGCAGCAGUGGGGAAUAUUGCACAAUGGGCGCAAGCCUGAUGCAGCGACGCCGCGUGAGGGAUGGAGGCCUUCGGGUUGUGAACCUCUUUCGCCAGUGAAGCAGGCCUGCCUCGUUUGUGGGUGGGUUGACGGUAGCUGGAUAAGAAGCGCCGGCUAACUACGUG
rnacentral:rRNA from 1 species